AGAACGAACGCUGGCGGCAUGCCUAAUACAUGCAAGUCGAACGAACUCUUCGGAGUUAGUGGCGCACGGGUGCGUAACGCGUGGGAAUCUGCCCCUUGGUUCGGAAUAACAGUUGGAAACGACUGCUAAUACCGGAUGAUGACGAAAGUCCAAAGAUUUAUCGCCAAGGGAUGAGCCCGCGUAGGAUUAGCUAGUUGGUGAGGUAAAGGCUCACCAAGGCGACGAUCUGUAGCUGGUUUGAGAGGACGACCAGCCACACUGGGACUGAGACACGGCCCAGACUCCUACGGGAGGCAGCAGUGGGGAAUUUGGACAAUGGGGGAAACCCUGAUCCAGCCAUCCCGCGUGUGCGAUGAAGGCCUU
rnacentral:rRNA from 1 species